rnacentral:rRNA from 1 species
UACGUAGGGUGCAAGCGUUAAUCGGAAUUACUGGGCGUAAAGGGGUGCGCAGGCGGUUCUGUAAGUCAGAUGUGAAAUCCCCCGGGCUUAACCUGGGAAUUGCGUUUGAAAACUACAGAGCUGGAGUGUGGCAGAGGGGGGGUGGAAUUCCAUGUGUAGCAGUGAAAUGCGUAGAGAUAUGGAAGAACAUCGAUGGCGAAGGCAACCCCCUGGGUUAACACUGACGCUCAUGCACGAAAGCGUGGGGAGCAAACAGG